GAUGAACGCUGGCGGCGUGCCUAAUACAUGCAAGUAGAACGCUGAAGGAAGGAGCUUGCUCUUUCCGGAUGAGUUGCGAACGGGUGAGUAACGCGUAGGUAACCUGCCUGGUAGCGGGGGAUAACUAUUGGAAACGAUAGCUAAUACCGCAUAACAGUAGAUGUUGCAUGAUAUCUACUUAAAAGGUGCAAUUGCACCACUACCAGAUGGACCUGCGUUGUAUUAGCUAGUUGGUGAGGUAACGGCUCACCAAGGCGACGAUACAUAGCCGACCUGAGAGGGAGAUCGGCCACACUGGGACUGAGACACGGCCCAGGAUCCUACGGGAGGCAGCAGUAGGGAAUCUUCGGCAAUGGACGGAAGUCUGACCGAGCAACGCCGCGUGAGGGAAGAAGGUUUUCGGAUCGUAAAGCUCUGUUGUAAGAGAAGAACGAGUGUGAGAGUGGAAAGUUCACACUGUGACGGUAUCUUACCAGAAAGGGACGGCUAACUACGUG
rnacentral:rRNA from 1 species